rnacentral:misc_RNA from 1 species
CGCGGGUUACGGGGCAUGCGUAAUAGCAUUUUCCCCUCCUCACGCAAAAAAAAAAGAGUGAUUGAUGUAGCCAUCGCAAAGUUCAUGGGCAUCACCACCAGCACGUCAUACUAAAGAGAGGAACAGAGUCCUACGACCGUACACGGAACGCCCUGCACCGUACCGAGAGGUAUCCAUGACCAUAUCGAAGACAUCGCACAACAUCUGCAAGGAUAGGACAACAAUCGGCUGACGCUUUACCACGUUAAGAUCUAUAAUGUUAUCUCUGGUAAGGGUGUAUUGUAGCGGCACUCGACAACAAAUACCGCUACUCGACACUAACUAAGCAACCAACUCUAGGUUUCGAACGUUCGGGACCCGGGUUCGAUUCCCGGCGCCCGUGAUCCUAUUUUUCUUCCACGCAUCAAAAUGGAAGAAUAAUUAGCAUUAUCCCAGCAGCGACAUCUACAGCCGGCAAUUACUACUAUCACGGACAACAUAUACCACCUCUACAAUACUAAUUAAGAAUAAUAUUAAAAUAACCAUUGAUGUUGAUGAUGACCUCUAUAAUUCCACCUUAAUCAUUUCAGAAAC